rnacentral:lncRNA from 1 species
UUAUAUUUUCAAUGCCUGGUAAAAGUUUUCAGUUUGAAAGGGGCUGAUUGAUUGUACAAAGAUUGUCCAUACAAAGUUCAAAAAUUUGCAUGUAAAGCCAUGUUUGAUCAGUAAUGCAAAUAAAAUAUACAAAGAAGGUGAGUUUUAAGCCCAAAAUUCUUUUGAUCUUUGAAGUCCCAUUGCUUUAAAAGUAUAACUGCCUUCUGCAUCACAACCCAGCAUGUACAUCUAUAUGCCUAUAUGUAUAUGUAUACAUAUAAAAUAAAACUUCUGUGUACAAAAUAGUCAGUAGCUAAUGGCAAGACUAUAGUUUUCUUUAAACACACUCUGUUCAUGUGUGAAGAUGAGUCCAAAUCUUGUCCCAUUGAAGAAAAAAUGAAUUUAAACACAAACAGGACCUGGCUGAAUUUAUUUAGACUAAGGAAGACUUUGCAGCACAUGCAAGGCACAAUCAAGCCCUAAAAAUAAAUGGCAUGCAGUAGGACAUGGGACAGAGUGACUCUUAAGAGCACUUACAGGUACACUGUGAAGGCAAAAUAGUUCCUCAGAAAUGCAAAUCCCACCCAGGCACAGCAAGCCAGUGCAAGGUCCAAACAAUGUAUACAGCCCCUCUUAAACAGCGGAUAUGAUGAUAUUUUCCUAGGAGGAAAUUUCACACCAUUUUGGGUGCCCAAGAGGAGAUGCUCAAAGAAGGAGCUGUUAUGCAAGGCAGGAGGAAACCCCCAUGCUUUCUGAAAAUCAAGACCUCUGUAUCACUUCAUAUGGCACAUCCAGAACCAGAGCUGUCCUCUCAGUGCCAUGGUUGAGAGCUGCCGCUGUGCUGGGCUGUUGUGUCGUUCAUGCUGGGUGGUUUACUGCAAUGUUUGCCUUUGGAGAUCUCUCUAUCAGCAUCACUAGAUAUUUGUCUCUAAAGGCAGGAGCUUUAAAGGGCAGCAAGAGGACACUCCUUCCAGUUGAGCCAUCUGGUAAUAUGUGAAGUUUUUGGCUGUGUGAUACAACACUAUGGAGCUGGAUCACAAAGGGUACUGGUGGAGAGCAUUAUGCUCAGCACGGAAGACUGUGCUGUAUGGAAAAUGGAGGAUUGCUUCUUUCAACCCAAAACCCCUCUCUCUGAGGGUCAGUGACAUAGCUGCCAUCUGAAAAAGUGCCGUGUGUCUUAGGGUUUGCUUAAGGCUGAACCAUGCAAAACCAGUGUUCACCUCCACCUUUGAAGCGGGAUGUGUUAGAAAAGUCCUCUCUCUGCAGCACUGGCACAGAGAGCAGAGAAGGCCCAUAGGCUUACAGGUGAAUCCUGCCCUCUGCCAUGCCUCUAAUGCUGCUCAAAUGUGCAGCAGCUUGAGAAGUACUGUGAUGUAGCAAGUAGCUUCUCAUAGGCAUG